rnacentral:lncRNA from 1 species
GGAGAUGGACACGAGCCGCAGGAGGUUUUUCUUGUAAGCCAGAGAUUUUGCUUCAGAAGAAGACCUCCCAUUUUAUUAUGGGAACUCUUCUACAAACAUGCCAAACCACAUUUGUUAUUGAUUUUAAUUGUAGUCGUUUCUUUCCCCACUGUAUGUGGAGGGUUCGAUCAAGUGUGGGCAGGAUUUCUCUGCAUCAAGAAAUAAGUUAAUUAGCUUGCAGUCCAAUUACAAUGGUUUCUGGGCCUUUUGUUUCGUAGAGCAUUUGGUUAAGAUUGGUCAAAAGCCUCUCUGAUAAAGAGUGGCUGUCCCUUUGCUGGAAGGGAAGGAGAUGACCUCUCUCUUAAUCGGCUUUAGAGCAAAGACCCGCUUGGGAGUCGUAGGAGAAUGUCAAACUGAACUAAAAGGAUAUGUAUUCUGCAAUCAGAUAUGAACGAAAUUGUUGAUGUUAUAUGUAUGUUUUAAUACCAUUUUUAAAUGCUUUAUUGAUAUGCUUUUCCAUGGGACAUGUUAUUACAAGCAAGAGGGCACUGUGUCAUCCCGCAUGGCCACUUUCUGCAGUUUAAUGCGUAAAUGGCAGUCAUAUACAGGUUGCAUUUAUUUUUAUUAAACAACAAAUUAAAACAAUUUUUUUCCUACAGAGAUUGCUGUUUUUUAAUUAAGAGGAGAUGAUGAUCCCCUUGGAUGCAACAUCAGUAUUCAUACUCUAAGAUCUAAUCCAUGGAUGCACUUAAUUUCUGUAUGUCAAUGAUUGAAUAGACAGGCUUUUUAAGGAAUAAAUUGAUUAAAAAAAGAUAUCUGGAUCAAAUUACAUAAACAUUUAUUUAUUCUAAUGUUUUCAAAAUCAAUGGUAAAAAAUAGUGAUUCAUUUAUUAUAUUAAAAAUGAACGAUAUAUUCUUAAUCGCUUCUAAUAAUUUUGUUUUGAUUUUUUAUCCACCUAGACUAUAAAUGACGAAAAUAAUAUUUUAAAGCUGUCAAUCUGUAUCGAAUGAUGAUUGAUUGAUAAUUUCCUAUUAUUUCGUCAAUCCGAUAAUCAAAAGCACAUCAUCAACAUCAAACACUAAAAAAUAAAAAAGGAGAAUGGUUAAAUAAAUGAUCGGACUCUGUUCUUCACAAGCGGAAGAAGGCAGAUACCUAACAAGAACAUAUACCAAACAUUCCAAAGUUGGAGGUUUUUCCUUUUUUUUUUGGCAUGCGAGAACAAAAUUGGGAGAACCUUCUUGGAAAACAUCUUGAGAAUUGAAUCUGCUUAUCAUUCAAUCUAAGUUUUGGUGUCACAUAGAGCAUUGUGUUGGACUGAGAAGUUAGGAAAACAUCAAUGUAUACAAUCUUAUCCAUACAAGUAAAGAGACUGCAUCUGGUUGUUUGUGAGCUCAUCACCAUGUCACCUCUCUCAAUCACUUGUACAUCCACAUAUUGUUGAUGAUCUGAAUGAGUAGACUAUUGUCUUGACAGUUUCUAAAGGAAUUUAAGAAAAUAAGAUAAAAGUAAUUGUCUCAGUUCUACUUGUUGUGUUUCUGUUUCCAUAUUAUUUCCAAGUCGAUGUAUACGCAUUGGCUUGAAUCAGUGGUCCAGCAAAUCAAUUGGUGACAUCCGGCUUGGCUCUGGUCCGAUUCUGAUAACUAUACUGGCAUGUCAUGCAUGUUUCCUUGUACUCUAACUCGAUGCCUCUAGAAGUACUCCCCAAAAGAAAGCAGUCCCGGCGGCAGAACCGCGGCGAAGGAUCGGGCGGUGCACGGCGGAGGCCGAGGAACGACAGACACCCUGUUGCUGCCUUUUAGCCCUUUAAAGGAGUUCAGGCCGUGAAUGUGGGUCACACCGGGCUUCCUCCUCAUGGAGGAGUUCAGGCUGGAACAUGACACUGCAGCUGCCGCUGAGAUUCCUGUUGCCAUUGGGAUAUAUGAGGACCCACAAUUCACAUUUCCAUCGUCUUCCCGACCCGAGCAAGAUGACGAAUGGAACUUGACAAGAGUUGCAAACUUGGUAGAAGCAUACUUACUCUCUCGUGGUGGUUUACUCUAUAUACAAUUUGAUUACGAAAUCGACGACGAACUCAGCCGGCUUUUGGUCGAAAGUGGUCCGGUUCAUGAGGAAGGUGACUUCGGCUCGGUUCGGAUGUGAGCUAUACUUUAAUAACCGAACCGGGAGUUCGGCUUUGUCUCGAUCUCAUACCGUGUCGACUCCCCGACUCCGCUUCGCCCAAACGCCGUUGAGGCGUCGAUAGGUUUCCAUCUCAUCCGCGAACGAAGCAAGCGACCGUCAAGAGAAGUAUUGUUUUGUUCGUCCUCCUCCUCUUCCAUCUUCUUCCGCUCCUUUUGCUGCGCGUCCCGUUUGCGUUGCUGCCGAAAGAGGGAGGAUGUAGUUGAUGCCUACUAUGUGUUCGACUUCUGUUCUGUUUGGAAGAACCUUGAGCAAAAGGAGAAACGUUUUGCUGAUCCACGUUUCAUUUUGAGAAUCUUAAUGAUGGUCCGUUUUCUUUUUAUUAUAUUACGCUGCCACCUCACGUGUGCGUCUCCUUCGAUUCUUCUCCUUUGAAGUACAAGGAUGGGCGGCGGCGGGGGGAAGAGGGAGAAGGCGGAAGGGUGUGACGUGGACGAGCAGGAAACACGGGAUAAGAAGAAGAAGGGGACGACUCUUCCCUCGAUGAUCAAGAACAAGGAGAAGAGGAGUGCCGUCCAUGCCAAGCUCAAGCGCGAGAAGAAGAUCGAGAAGCGGAAGCAGGCCAAGGCACGAGAGGCCGCCAUCAAGCGAGCCCUCGACCUCGGCGAGGAGGCAAGUUCUUUCCCCUUUGAUCUCCACCUUUUGCUUGGCUUUCGCUUUUCGGGUUAUCAAUCUUGUUUCUUGAUGCAUAGCCUCCGGAGAAGAAGGUGCCGCGGACGAUCGAGAACACCAGGGAGGUCGAUGAGACGGUCUGUCGACCUGAUGAUGAAGAGGUGAGCAUGCUGUUCAGUUUCUGUGUUCUUCUCUUGCUUUCUACUAGAUGUUGGUCAGUUAUUCCUGAUAAUGGCUAGUCCAGUUAUUUGCAGGGAAUGAUGCCGAUGAAUUUAGCCAAGUCCUGAAACAAGAAGUGACGCCAAAGAUAUUAAUCACCACAAAUCGUUUCAAUUCCACAGUACGUUUUUAGUGUUCGUCUUUCCAUCACUUUUACCUUUACUUUCGUUGUUUAUUUGUGUGUCCUUCUUGCCCUAUCUUUAAAUAUUUUUUAGGAUUCGUGGAAUCCAUAUUUACUAGGAACUAAUGCCACCACUGAAUUCUUACCUUUUUGAAAAUGCAUGCAGAGAGGUCCUGCCUUCAUUCAAGAGUUAUUGUCUGUGAUUCCAAAUGCUCAUUACCAUAAGAGAGGAACCUAUGAACUGAAGAAGGUGAAGCAUUUGUGAUGAACCAAAAUUCGGGUUUCUUAUUUUGCUGAGCCUUUAUUAUGAUGAUUGUUUCUCUUAUUGCAGAUUGUUGAAUAUGCAAAGAACAAAGACUUCACUUCAGUUGUAGUGGUCCAUUCAAAUCGAAGGGAACCAGGUUAGAAGCAACAGGGGAGAUAGUGACUCUUGUUUUGUCAUUGAUUGUUGUUUGUUUUUACAUCUGUAAUUCUGUCUUUAAAUACCUGUUUUUUUAGAUGCUCUGUUGAUCAUAAACUUGCCUGAUGGACCUACGGCACAUUUCAAACUAUCUAAAUUAGUCUUGCGGAAGGAUAUUAAGGUACAUUCACUUGUACUUGAAAAAUGCAUGAAAAAUAGCUGAGUUCCAUCAUACUUUGGAGUUUCUCUUCUUGCUUCCAUACAUUCAUUUAGUAACUAUAGUAUGUACGAGUUGGCAUGGUUUAUUUCACUGGCAAUAUGAACUCAUAUUUUCACUCGCGCUUUUGAAACAUGGGGACAUCUUAGAAAUGCAUCCUGGUUUAGUAUACUUAUAGAGUACAAUGUUGUCAAGUACUCACAGAUCAUUUAAGUUUUUUAUUUCUUAAAUAAUUACGGAAGGUUAUGAUAUUGUAUGAUUACCUGUCUUGGAGAGGAUAAAUAAACCACAACGUCAUCCUUAUAGCUUCACACAUAAUCUUAGCUUCUGAACCUGAUAAGCAUUACUUGUAUCAUAAUAUCCCAGCUGCAUAGUAGUUCAAAAAAUUUAAAAAUGCAUUAAAGAAAGUUUAAGAUCCUUUGGAAUAAAGCAAUAAUAAAAAAUUCAUUAAUAAACUUAACAAAUAGUAAUACAAACUAGAUCUAGUAUGGUGCCUUUGAGCCCCUUGGAGAUCCUUAAACUGUCUCAAAAAUCUCCUGAAUAUUGAUUUGAGUUUCAAGUCAAGCUGUUCGUAAAAUGGGGUUCAUGCCAUGCUGAUGGCUUACCUGCAUUGUUUUGGCUUGGCAUGGAUCCCUCGUUGAUAUAUGCUGCUUAGCAGUAUCAUUCUAGAACAUUACUAGAAUGCCUUCUCAAGUAAGGCAAAUCAGUAGUAUAAUAGUAAAUUUUGCUUGACCUUGUUCCUCAUUGUCAUUGUUCAUGUAUGUCGAUUUGGAAAUAUAGCUCUUGUUCUGCAUUUUACUGCAAAUCAGUUACAAUAUAUGACUAUUGCCACAUCUCUAAGUUGUACUUUUGAUAUAGUUGUUAUAGUACGACGGUCGGAGGAAUGAAUUUUUUUCGAUUUGAAUUGUGGCAAUUUUAUAUUAUGUAUGGACCAAUAAUAUGAAAGUUGCAUCUGUGAAUUUCUUGCCCUUGUGAUACUUAUAAAAUGUCUUGAUGAUUGCUGCAUCUGUGACAUGCUGAUGCUCUAGCUUGUUCAUUGUCUUGAUCACCUACCAACCCUAAGCAUCCACAGAAGGCUCUAACAAAUAUUCUCAAUCGAAUGACUUUUAGUGCAGAGUAGCCCAUACCAUAAAUUGAUUUCUUAUUAAUUUAUCAGUAUAUGUGCAAGCAUUACAGUAUAGAUGUCUAAUUUAUAAAUAUCUGGAAGUUUAAUGCUUUAUAAACAUUCAUUUUCAACAGUUUUGCUACAUCAUUUAAAAUAUUGGUUUUCAGUUUCAUAUACAUCAUACACAUCCCUUUAACUAUGGAUUUAUUUUGGCAACCAGAAUCAUGGAAAUCCUACAGACCAUAAGCCGGAGUUAGUACUGAACAACUUCACCACACGUCUUGGUCAUCGUGUUGGAAGGUUAACGUUUUACUUAAUUCAAGAUGUCAAAUGAUACUCUCAUUUCUCCUUUUAUAGUAUAAGGAUUUGUUUUCCUCUUCUUGUUUUUUUUCCUUCUUUAUCAAACUUAUAUUUCUGCUACCUCUAUUGAUUAUUUGAUUUUGACUCUUUUUAGGAUGAUACAAUCACUAUUCCCUCAAGACCCCAACUUUCGUGGUCGUCGAGUUGUAACAUUCCAUAACCAGCGAGACUUCAUUUUUUUUAGACAUCACAGGUAUAUCUAUUUUGUUGACUACUUAUACUUGUUAUUACAAAAUAUGUUGAGGAUCUUAUGCAGAACCUGGAAGUUUCCUCAAGCCAUAUCAAUAGUAGCUCUUCUAUGUCUCAUCAUUGAACCAUUUUUUGCUCUCAAGGACUUGCUUUGAACACUGGCAGUAUAUUCUUAGUAACUGUUUGAAUUUCUUCAAGUGCCUCUAGACAUACUUUGUUUAAAUGUCCUUUGCAAUUUUUGCUCAGGUUCUUAUUGUCUAGUGUAUUCUUUGUGCUGGUAGAGUGAAAUAAUGGGCCUAUUUAGAGGUCUUGGACUGUUAAAGGUCAUUUGGUGCUAGCUUAAGAAUUAAUUUUAGCUGCUAUUGUUCAAGGUGUUGGUCGAGGAAAACAUGGACAUGUUUAGGAAACCAGAGAUGGUCACCUAGAUUGAGUUGGGAACAGUGGAGAAUAUUGGUCCAGAUGUCUGUGGCUGGUUUCUUAGAUGGGUAGCAAAUAUCAGUUUAUCUUUGAAAUAUCUGUGCUAUUUGAGGAAAGCUGUUUGUCAUCUUUAAAAUUAAGAGCUAUUAGAUCUCGAGUCUGAUUCCAAUGUGGCUCCAACAACUGUUAGAUCUAUUGCCGGAACACCUGUGGUGAUAUAUAUCGCCGACUAAUUAUUUAUCAUAAUGAAAACUACUUGUUCCGAACAAUAUGAAAACUGAGAUUUCUGUAAAGCUUCCUGUGGGAAGCUAAACAGAGUUCUAGUGGUCAGAAGUAUCACUGAAUAAUAAUGUAUAUGCUCUAAUCAGUAAUAUCUAGAAACUGACUAUAAAAAUGAUCCUGAAAACAAAGAAAAAANNNNNNNNNNNNNNNNNNNNAUACUUAAUGUUGGUACCAUGAACUGAUCUCAACAUAUACUUAGUGUUUCUUCUUUUGUUUGGGUAGACUUGUACGAAAACCCUUUAAUUAUUUAUGCCAUCUGGGAUUAUGUCUCAUUUUCUCUGCAAUUAUAGGUAUAUAUUUGAAUCCAAAGAGAAAAAAGAUGACUCCAAGGACAAGGCUGCCAAGAGCAAGAAUAUAACUCAAGAGAAAGUGAUUGUACGGCUUCAGGUACUGUUUAACAAGAGUGUCGCACUUUGUCAUUUGAUGAUAUGCUUUACAAUAUUUAUUACUUGGACCAGACACACACACUCCAUGAUGCUUUCUCACCCAAUUUUUAAAUGUUUGAAGACUGUUUUAUGUUAUGGUCUGAUCUUUAUAGUUUAUUCCCCUUUCUGUUACACUAGCAACACUAUUUCUCUGUACCUGGAGUAUUCCUGUAAAUUUUACUGCUUAGUUAUCUGACCACACUCAACAGCUGUUGAAUUUUGACCUGGGAGAUGGAUUAUUUGAUUUGACAAUCUGACAUGGUAUUUUGUUCACAUUUUAUUCUUUUUGAAAAUGCAGGAGUGUGGCCCUCGCUUUACACUUAAAUUGAGGAACCUGCAACAUGGAACAUUUGAUUCAAAGGGUGGAGAGUAUGAGUGGGUCCACAAGGUACUCUUUCGUGAUCUUGGUAUAGAAUUUACCAUGUUCUGGGAUUUUUUGUUUUUUCCAUCAAAUUUACCAUGCGUUGCAUUUGAUUCUAGCCGGAGAUGGACACGAGCCGCAGGAGGUUUUUCUUGUAAGCCAGAGAUUUUGCUUCAGAAGAAGACCUCCCAUUUUAUUAUGGGAAUUGAGCUUUUUUACUCUUCUACAAACAUGCCAAACCACAUUUGUUAUUGAUUUUAAUUGUAGUCGUUUCUUUCCCCACUGUAUGUGGAGGUUCGAUCAAGUGUGGGCAGGAUUUCUCUGCAUCAAGA